rnacentral:rRNA from 1 species
GACAGAGGGUGCAAACGUUGUUCGGAAUUACUGGGCGUAAAGGGCGCGUAGGCGGCCGCCUAAGUCAGACGUGAAAUCCCUCGGCUCAACCGGGGAACUGCGUCUGAUACUGGGUGGCUUGAAUCCGGGAGAGGGAUGCGGAAUUCCAGGUGUAGCGGUGAAAUGCGUAGAUAUCUGGAGGAACACCGGUGGCGAAGGCGGCAUCCUGGACCGGCAUUGACGCUGAGGCGCGAAAGCCAGGGGAGCAAACGGG